rfam:Rhodovulum sp. ES.010 genome assembly, contig: Ga0114012_11
GGUUCGGGAGCGGUCGGUGGGACGUCCGCAAGAAUGGAACCUUGCCCCCUGUUUCGUGAGCGGCGCGCGGCCGGGGCCCGACGGCAUUGCGCG